rnacentral:rRNA from 1 species
UACGUAGGGUGCGAGCGUUAAUCGGAAUUACUGGGCGUAAAGCGUGCGUAGGCGGUUCGUUAAGUGCGUCGUGAAAGCCCCGGGCUCAACCUGGGAAUGGCGAUGGAAACUGGCGGGCUGGAGUAUGGCAGAGGGGGGUGGAAUUCCGCGUGUAGCAGUGAAAUGCGUAGAGAUGCGGAGGAACACCGGUGGCGAAGGCGGUUCUCUGGGCCUUACCUGACGCUGAGGAGCGAAAGCGUGGGGAGCGAACAGG